rnacentral:rRNA from 1 species
GGAUGAGCCCGCGGCCUAUCAGCUAGUUGGUGAGGUAACGGCUCACCAAGGCCAAGACGGGUAGCUGGUCUGAGAGGACGACCAGCCACACUGGAACUGAGAGACGGUCCAGACACCUACGGGUGGCAGCAGUCGAGAAUUUUUCACAAUGGGCGCAAGCCUGAUGGAGCGACGCCGCGUGGGGGAUGAAGGGCUUCGGCUCGUAAACCCCUGUCAUUUGCGAACAAACCCUCACAUUGAACAGGUGUGAGGUUGAUUGUAGUGAAAGAGGAAGGGACGGCUAACUCUGUGCCAGCAGCCGCGGUAAUACAGAGGUCCCGAGCGUUGUUCGGAUUCACUGGGCGUAAAGGGUGCGUAGGUGGUGGGGUAAGUCUCGUGUGAAAGCUCGCAGCUUAACUGCGAAAAGUCACGGGAUACUAUUCCGCUGGAGGCUUGGAGGGGGGACUGGAAUACUUGGUGUAGCAGUGAAAUGCGUAGAUAUCAAGUGGAACACCAGUGGCGAAGGCGAGUCCCUGGACAAGACCUGACACUGAGGCACGAAAGCCAGGGGAGCAAACAGGAUUAGAUACCCUGGUAGUCCUGGCUGUAAACGGUGCACGUUUGCUGUAAAAGGAAUCGACCCCUUUUGUGGCGAAGCUAACGCGAUAAACGUGCCGCCUGGGAAGUACGGUCGCAAGAUUAAAACUCAAAGAAAUUGACGGGGGCCUGCACAAGCGGUGGAGUAUGUGGCUUAAUUCGAUGCAACGCGAAGAACCUUAC